UCCGUAGGUGACCUGCGGAAGGAUCAUUACCGGUAUCAUUCCGAACCCCGUGCGAACGGGCUCCUGCUUCGAGUAGGGGCCGUUGGUCGUCCUUGGAGACGGCCUCUGCGUGCCGCCUCCCGCGCCUGGCGUGGGUUGGUGGCGCGUGGGCAUGCGGCCGCGCGUGGGGAUUCUGAAUUGCCGCGAGCGCGCCGUUCGGGAGCGUGCCGAUGCCUAUAUGGCAUUGGCGUGUUUCACCCCACCCCACCGCGCGCGCGCGUCUAUUUGUAUGGAUGGGCUCGCGCGCGCCCGACCACAAACCUAACCACAACUCCUGUCGAAGGAUAUCUUGGCUCCCGCAACGAUGAAGAACGCAGCGAAAUGCGAUACGUAAUGUGAAUUGCAGAAUUCAGUGAAUCAUCGAGACUUUGAACGCACAUGGCAUUUCCAAGUUUCGCUUGGAAGUAUGUUCCUUCGAGUGGAGUUCCCACCCCACCUCGGUGGCGCCCCCGCCUUGGGGGCGCGGCCGGAGGCGGCCUCUGGCGCGGAUUCGGUUGCGCGUCACUGGCUGAAGCUGGGGAGUGCGGGGCGUGCGCUCCGGGCGCCGGCUCGGCUUCGUCCGGGUUGGUGUUCGGGGGGUGUUGCCUCCAGAUGGGCCCGAGCGGUUUCCAUCGGCGUGCUAGUGGCGUCUCCUUGUGAGCGCCGACGGUCGCUGAUGUGCCGCUCGAGAUCGCGCCGGUCUGGAUUCACAGGCGAUGCCUCUUUUGCGAGCGCGUGUCCGCCUCCCAGCCGCGCGCACACCGCGCGGCGGCGAGGGCGCCUUUUCUAUGGUGCGCCCUGCGUCUGAACCUCCUCCAUCGAAUGGAGCAAGACUACCCGCUGAACUUAAGCAUAUCAAUAAGCGGAGGA
rnacentral:rRNA from 1 species